ensembl:ncRNA R07C3.17 ncRNA
AGUUCUUGUUUUAAUCAAGACAUCUUCGGCCGUCGUCUCCAUUGCAUCAACAAACACAGCUUCUGAUGCCACCUUCUACCGCAAGCUUCAGCACCAGAUGCACUUGUUUAUUAAGCCACAUGCCCAGAAAGUAGCAGCUUCAGCUGCAGAUGCUCCACACACCUGCUCGUGAAGUUGUACAACCAACGCACCAAUCUGCGAACUUGUUUUGGUUUGUAAUAAAAUUGUUUUUUU